UCACCGGGUGAAAAUACGGCACA
rnacentral:miRNA from 1 species